GUCAGCAUAAAAGCGAGUUUAAUAUUUUGUAACUGCGACAGUAUGAUGGUGCUUACAGGAAAGCUUAAUUCCCUUUUGCAAACAAAAUUGUUAUUACCGAUGCUGCUACCGAAUUGCUGACGGAGAAGAAAUUGGAAGACAUUGAUUCAUGAUCAUUGAUCAUUGUGUUGAUGAUAAUGUGCUACCUUUAGAAACACAGACUGCCC
rnacentral:lncRNA from 1 species